rnacentral:rRNA from 1 species
GAUGAACGCUGGCGGCGUGCCUAAUACAUGCAAGUCGAGCGAACAGACGAGGAGCUUUCUCCUCUUACGUUAGCGGCGGACGGGUGAGUAACACGUGGAUAACCUACCUAUAAGACUGGGAUAACUUCGGGAAACCGGAGCUAAUACCGGAUAAUAUAUUGAACCGCAUGGUUCAAUAGUGAAAGACGGUUUUGCUGUCACUUAUAGAUGGAUCCGCGCCGCAUUAGCUAGUUGGUAAGGUAACGGCUUACCAAGGCGACGAUGCGUAGCCGACCUGAGAGGGUGAUCGACCACACUGGAACUGAGACACGGUCCAGACUCCUACGGGAGGCAGCAGUAGGGAAUCUUCCGCAAUGGGCGAAAGCCUGACGGAGCAACGCCGCGUGAGUGAUGAAGGUCUUCGGAUCGUAAAACUCUGUUAUUAGGGAAGAACAAAUGUGUAAGUAACUAUGCACGUCUUGACGGUACCUAAUCAGAAAGCCACGGCUAACUACGUG